GACGAACGCUGGCGGCGUGCCUAACACAUGCAAGUCGAACGGAAACGCCCUGCUUUUGUGGGGUGCUCGAGUGGCGAACGGGUGAGUAACACGUGAGUAACCUGCCCUUCACUUUGGGAUAACUUCAGGAAACUGGGGCUAAUACCGGAUAGGAGCUCCUGCCGCUUGGUGGGGGUGGGAUAGUUUCGCCGGUUGGGGAUGGACUCGGGGCUUAUCAGCUUGUUGGUGGGGUAGUGGCUUACCAAGGCUUUGACGGGUAGCCGAGCUGAGAGGGUGAGCGGACCAAUCGGAACUGAAAUACGACACAGACCCGUACGGGAGGCAGGGGAGGGGAAUGUAACACAAUGGGCGGAAGCCUGAUCCAGCAAAGCCGCGUCCGGGAUGAGGGCAUUCCCGUUGUGAUCCGCUUCCGCCUGUGACGGAACGUGAGUGACAGUAACGGGUAAAGAAGCACCGGCUAACUCCGUG
rnacentral:rRNA from 1 species